rnacentral:rRNA from 1 species
GAUGAACGCUGGCGGCGCGCCUAACACAUGCAAGUCGAACGGCACCUAUCUUCGGAUAGAAGCGAGUGGCGAACGGCUGAGUAACACGUGGAGAACCUGCCCCCUCCCCCGGGAUAGCCGCCCGAAAGGACGGGUAAUACCGGAUACCCCGGGGUGCCGCAUGGCACCCCGGCUAAAGCCCCGACGGGAGGGGAUGGCUCCGCGGCCCAUCAGGUAGACGGCGGGGUGACGGCCCACCGUGCCGACAACGGGUAGCCGGGUUGAGAGACCGACCGGCCAGAUUGGGACUGAGACACGGCCCAUACUCCUACGGGAGGCAGCAAUGGGGAAUCUUGCGCAGUGGGGGGAACCCCGACGCAGCGACGCCGCGUGCGGGACGGAGGCCUUCGGGUCGUAAACCGCUUCCAGCAGGGAAGAGUCAAGACUGUACCUGCAGCAAAAUCCCCGGCUAACUACGUGCCCGCAGCCGCGGUAAUACGUAUGGGGCGAGCGCUAUCCGGAUUCAUUGGGCGUAAGCGCGCGUAGGCGGCCCGGCAGGCCGGGGGUCGAAGCGGGGGGCUUUCCCCCCGAAGCCCCCGGAACCUCCGCGGCUUGGGUCCGGUUGGGGAGGGUGGAACACCCGGUGUAGCGGUGGAAUGCGCAGAUAUCGGGUGGAACACCGGUGGCGAAGGCGGCCCUCUGGGCCGAGACCGACGCUGAGGCGCGAAAGCUGGGGGAGCGAACAGGAUUAGAUACCCUGGUAGUCCCAGCCGUAAACGAUGGACGCUAGGUGUGGGGGGACGAUCCCCCCGUGCCGCAGCCAACGCAUUAAGCGUCCCGCCUGGGGAGUACGGCCGCAAGGCUAAAACUCAAAGGAAUUGACGGGGGCCCGCACAAGCAGCGGAGCAUGUGGCUUAAUUCGAAGCAACGCGAAGAACCUUACCAGGGCUUGACAUAUGGGUGAAGCGGGGGAGACCCCGUGGCCGAGAGGAGCCCAUACAGGUGGUGCAUGGCUGUCGUCAGCUCGUGUCGUGAGAUGUUGGGUUAAGUCCCGCAACGAGCGCAACCCCCGCCGCGUGUUGCCAUCGGGUGAUGCCGGGGACCCACGCGGGACCGCCGCCGUCAAGGCGGAGGAGGGCGGGGACGACGUCAAGUCAUCAUGCCCCUUAUGCCCUGGGCUGCACACGUGCUACAAUGGCCGGUACAGAGGGAUGCCACCCCGCGAGGGGGAGCGGAUCCCGGAAAGCCGGCCCCAGUUCGGAUUGGGGGCUGCAACCCGCCCCCAUGAAGUCGGAGUUGCUAGUAAUCGCGGAUCAGCAUGCCGCGGUGAAUGCGUUCCCGGGCCU